GGAAUUAGAAUAUUGAAAGCUAGGAUUAGUAAGUUCAAUUUUUUGGCUAUGGUUUUGGUGUAAAUUUUUAGUCAUUUGGAGUUUUUAUGAAGGAAAUAUAGGCACUCGAAGUCAAGGUAUUGGUUUUGUACCUACUAUCAUUCUUUUGGAUAUAUUGGACACAAAUAAAAAGUAAUAGAGGAUCAACGACUAGGAUUGAAAAAAAUACUUUUU
rnacentral:lncRNA from 1 species